rnacentral:sRNA from 1 species
GGAACCUGUAGGCAGCGCUUGAGGGUAGCGGGAUAGCAGCUGCAAGCGCGCGUGGGAGGCGGGGGCUCUGGGCGGAACAAAAAUCACAGGAUGUCAGAGGAUGUUUCCCGGGAAGAACUGGGAUAAAGGAAGGGUCCCAGCACCAUGGAGGACCCGAACCCUGAAGAGAACAUGAAGCAGCAGGAUUCACCCAAGGAGAGAAGUCCCCAGAGCCCAGGAGGCAACAUCUGUGAGUACACAUGGCUGGCGGGCUAGAGGAGGGUGGGGUGCAGGAGCUGAUGCUAAGAUCUCUGUGGCACUUCGGUGUCCAAGGCGCCACAGAGUUUUGCCUGUUGAGAAGGGGCUGUAAUGGUCCCUGAGCUGCUCUAGCAGGAAGUGCAUCUCCUCACACCAGCUUAUGUGGCCAGAGUACUCACCCUCCUCUGGCCACAUAAGCAGGAUUGCAAUGCUUAUGCAUUCAGAGGGAUAGGGUGGCUUCCAGGAGAGGCUUGGGUUGGAGAUGUGGCUGAGUAUGGUUCUAUUGGGAGAGAAACCCCAAGAUUCUGGUCCCAACUCUGCCCUAGACUUUCAGUGUAACUUGG